rnacentral:misc_RNA from 1 species
CCCAACUAUCCCUAUUAAUCAUUACGGUGGUCCUAGACCAACAAAAUAGAACCAACGUCCUAUUCUAUUAUUCCAUGCUAAUCUAUUCAAGCAAAAGCCCGCUUUAAACACUCUAAUUUUUUCAAGGUAAUGGUCCUGGCUCCCCAACACACCCAAUAAAGGACAUGCUGGCUCACCAGAAGGAAGACCCGACAGCAGACAGUACUCGCCAAAGACGGACCGCCCGGCCAGGCCUAAAAUUCAACUACGAGCUUUUUAACUGCAACAACUUUAAUAUACGCUAUUGGAGCUGGAAUUACCGCGGCUGCUGGCACCAGACUUGCCCUCCAA